rnacentral:rRNA from 1 species
AUUGAACGCUGGCGGCAUGCCUUACACAUGCAAGUCGAACGGCAGCAUGAUCUAGCUUGCUAGAUUGAUGGCGAGUGGCGAACGGGUGAGUAAUACAUCGGAACGUGCCCUGUAGUGGGGGAUAACUAGUCGAAAGAUUAGCUAAUACCGCAUACGACCUGAGGGUGAAAGUGGGGGACCGCAAGGCCUCAUGCUAUAGGAGCGGCCGAUGUCUGAUUAGCUAGUUGGUGAGGUAAAGGCUCACCAAGGCGACGAUCAGUAGCUGGUCUGAGGGGACGAUCAGCCACACUGGGACUGAGACACGGCCCAGACUCCUACGGGAGGCAGCAGUGGGGAAUUUUGGACAAUGGGCGAAAGCCUGAUCCAGCAAUGCCGCGUGUGUGAAGAAGGCCUUCGGGUUGUAAAGCACUUUUGUCCGGAAAGAAAUGGCCCUGGUUAAUACCUGGGGUCGAUGACGGUACCGGAAGAAUAAGGACCGGCUAACUACGUG